CCUACGGGCGGCAGCAGUGGGGAAUAUUGGACAAUGGGCGAAAGCCUGAUCCAGCCAUGCCGCGUGUGUGAAGAAGGCCUUCGGGUUGUAAAGCACUUUCAGUGGGGAAGAAAGCCUUGGGGCUAAUACCCUCGAGGAAGGACAUCACCCACAGAAGAAGCACCGGCUAACUCCGUGCCAGCAGCCGCGGUAAUACGGAGGGUGCGAGCGUUAAUCGGAAUUACUGGGCGUAAAGCGCGCGUAGGCGGUCUGAUAAGCCGGUUGUGAAAGCCCCGGGCUCAACCUGGGAACGGCAUCCGGAACUGUCAGGCUAGAGUGCAGGAGAGGAAGGUAGAAUUCCCGGUGUAGCGGUGAAAUGUGUAGAGAUCGGGAGGAAUACCAGUGGCGAAGGCGGCCUUCUGGACUGACACUGACGCUGAGGUGCGAAAGCGUGGGUAGCAAACAGGAUUAGAUACCCGUGUAGUC
rnacentral:rRNA from 1 species